AGGACAUGAAAUGAGCACAACCUUAAUAAAUUCUUAAAACGCUCCCUAGCGUCAAAUAAUGAUUCCUCACCCUUUUGCAUAAAAUUAGAUAUCUCAUAUCUCACUU